rnacentral:rRNA from 1 species
AGGGAAAGAGGGAGGGAGGAGGAAAAUAGGAAAGUAGAAAGGAAGCACAGUAAGAGCUUGCUCUUACGGGUGGCGAGUGGCGGACGGGUGAGGAAUACAUCGGACUCUACUUUUUCGUGGGGGAUAACGUAGGGAAACUUACGCUAAUACCGCAUACGACCUACGGGUGAAAGCAGGGGAUCUUCGGACCUUUCGCGAUUGAAUGAGCCGAUGUCGGAUUAGCUAGUUGGCGGGGUACGGCCCACCAAGGCGACGAUCCGUAGCUGGUCUGAGAGGAUGAUCAGCCACACUGGAACUGAGACACGGUCCAGACUCCUACGGGAGGCAGCAGUGGGGAAUAUUGGACAAUGGGCGCAAGCCUGAUCCAGCCAUACCGCGUGGGUGAAGAAGGCCUUCGGGUUGUAAAGCCCUUUUGUUGGGAAAGAAAAGCAGCAGGUUAAUACCCCGCUGUUCUGACGGUACCCAAAGAAUAAGCACCGGCUAACUUCGUA